rnacentral:rRNA from 1 species
CCGCAGGAGACUGCGGAGGACAUUAAAGAAUGAAC